rnacentral:rRNA from 1 species
UGCCAGCCGCCGCGGUAACACGGGGGGCGCAUGCGUUAUUCGGAAUUAUUGGGCGUAAAGAGCAUGUAGGCGGAUGAAUUAGUCAGAGGUGAAAGCCCCGAGCUCAACCUGGGAACUGCAUUUGAGACUGUUUAACUAGAGUGUGGUAGAGGAGAGUGGAAUUUCAGGUGUAGCGGUGAAAUGCGUAGAGAUCUGAAGGAACACCAGUGGCGAAGGCGGCCUUCUGGACUGAUACUGACACUGAGGUGCGAAAGCGUGGGGAGCGAACAGGAUUAGAUA